ACCUCACCGGCCAUGGGGGUUACAUAGAGGACGUGGUAUCAACAGAUGCUUGGAAAGUUUUCUGUCGCCAAAUGGGAAACAAGAUAUUGUAGGCCUGGAGCCGCGAAACAACGACACCGCAAGACCGUACAACAGCUUCAGGUGAGCAGCCAUCUAUGAGCAGCCCUCCUGCCACCGAGGCCUGUGCUGGCAACGACGGAAGCCAUUUGGCGGGAUCUCAGCCAGAUGCUACGCCAUAUGCUUCUACCAGCACAACAUAGUGGAUGAGUUCCGAAGCAUUAGCAAGCCAGCAAUGUGGAUCACUACAACCAAUUUCGAUAAACCGAGCUGAACGUACCCUUGAGAUGAAGGGCAGCCCCAAUAAUCUUCACGGGCACCCAGGCAUGCAGCAAACUGCGAAUGGUUUCAAUGAUGUUCCAGGACCAAUGAUGUUCCCACAUGUGGCUCAACUGGUGGUGAAUCAGAUGCAGACACAUACGGCUGAUUGAUAACGUUGUGUGUGUGCCGGGGGGGUCGUGUUGCCUUUGAUCCGUCGCGCCUCAACCUGGGGCUGCAAUUGUGAGCCUGUUGUGUAAUUGCUUAAGUAGUUCUUAGGAUGAUAGUGUGCAUAGAUGUGUUGGGUGGAUGCUGUAACAGCGGUGACCGGUGAGUUGCGAUUCUGAAUGUGUAGCAGAAAAACCACAGGCGAAAUGAAACAUCUGUAUAGAUUA